rnacentral:lncRNA from 1 species
CCUAUUGGUCAAAAAUUAUGACCAAUGGGCUUUGAGGAGGCUGCCUGAGGCCAUAUUAGGGAUUAGGGUUAGUUUCUCGAGGCCAUUCGAGUUUUAAAGGCUAGGAUCAGAAGGUUUAGGUUUUUGGCUAUGAUUUUGGUGCAAGUUUUGUAUGGUUUGGAGUUUAUAUGAAGGAGAUACAUGCGCUCAAAGUAAAGGUAUUGAUUUAGGAGCUACUGUCACUCUUUUUGGCAUAAUGCAUGCGUACGAAUAGCAAUUGAGGAUCGGCAAUAGCGACUGGAGAGAGCACUUUUGCGGCUACACUUUUCACAUACUGCUUAUUGGAUUGCAAGUUGAAGUGAAGGAGUUAUUGGAUUUUGAAGUCAGCACAUGCAAUCUAAGGGUAGUAAGUAACCGAUUUGCUAGUAGUUGUCUCUUGAGCUAUAUCUUGAGCAAUUUGAUAAGGUUUUGGCUCAAAAUUUCAGGGAAUGUGUAAUUUCAUGUUAGUAAACUUUGUACAUAAGAUUUAUGACAUUUGAGUAUUGGGUUCUUGAGAUAUUAAGAUAAUAGUGUUCGGGUGCUUGUAAAUUAGGGUUUAAAGUAUCUGCUAGGGUUUCUUAGAUGCCAAAAGAUCGGGAGUGAAUUUGCGGUUGGUUUUUUUUGUGAUAAAAUUUAAGGGUGAACUCUACCUACCCUAUAAAUUUGAGACAAACUGAACGGUUAGAUCAAGAGUUAUGAUUUUCU